UCCGCGGGUUUCUUCGGCGGCCGUGUUGUUCACGUGGGUCGCUGUAGGGAUGAUAUUUUAACCGUACGCGUCUAAACGUCAACACAGCCGCCGGCGGGCUAGACGCCUCGCAGUUAACGACGCACGUUAGACUUAUUACCGCGAGUAUGGACGAGUCUGGCCGAGCCUCCUCUUAUCUGGACGAGCCACCCAACAGCCGGCUGUUCCUCGUCACCAGCAAGUCCAUCACGGAGGAGACCAUAAGAGAGCAUUUCGCGGCUUUCGGGGAGAUUCAGGACAUUUGGGUGGUGAAAGACAAGCAGACGAAAGAGUCGAAAGGGGUGUCGUUCGUCAAGUUCGCCAAGUCCUCGCAAGCCUGCGCCGCGAUGGAGGAGAUGCACGGCAGGUGCCUGGCCGAAGGGACCAAGCCGAUAAAAGUCUUCAUCGCUCAGUCCAGAUCUUCUGGCAGUCACAGAGACGUGGAGGACGAGGAGCUCACCAGAAUAUUUGUCAUGAUCCCCAAAUCCUUCACCGAGGAAGAUCUAAAAGACACAUUUAAGGGAUAUGGGGAUAUAGAGUAUGCUAUUAUUAUAAGGAAUAAGACCACAGGUGAAAGUAAAGGUCUGGGUUACGUCAGGUUUCACAAACCUUCACAAGCCGCCAAAGCCAUCGAAAAAUGUGACAAGACUUUUAGAGCUAUUUUAGCUGAGCCCAGGACCAAAAACGCUUCAGCAGACAAUGACUAUUUCAGCAACCCUAGAGCGGAGCACCCCGGGAACGACGCAGCCUCGAACUCGUACACCUUCGCACACGAGUCCAGCAGCUACUCCACGGGGGACACGUGGAGCUCGGACAUCAUCACCCGGUGCCUGCUGGUGUCGUCCCGGGCCGCGGUCACUCAGGAGCAGAUCUGCGCUCUGUUUGACCUGAUCCCGGGGAUGGACUUCUGUGAGAUGCAGAGAGAUCAGUACGGCUUCAGCAAAGGUCAGGUGGUGGUGCGCUACAAUAACCUGGGCUCAGCGGUUUAUGCGAAAGAGAAGCUGAAUGGGUUUGAGUAUCCGCCCGGCAACCGUCUCUCGGUAUCUUACAUCGAUGACGGGGAGGACAGAACGAGUCCCGUGGGGAAGAUGGCGAUGCAGCUCGUGGCGGCUCAGAUGAUGUCUAUGGUGUGGAACGGCCCUUCUGGCGCACAGCUAAUGAAGACUAGCACGGGCUAUACAGCGCCCCCUGUACCACAGAAAGCACGUGUGCAGACAGAUGUAGCUCUCCCAUCUCUAAAGAAACUGGUGGCGUCUGACAGCGUGGUGAAGGAGAGGCUGUUUGUCAUCUUCAACCCCUCACCUCUGCCUGUGGAUGUGCUGGAGGACGUGUUCUGUCGUUUCGGUUCCCUGAUGGAGGUUUACUUGGUUCCGGGCCGGAAUGUGGGAUAUAUAAAGUAUGCAGAGCGGAAAGCCGCUCACGACGCCAUAGCCCUGCUGCACGGUAAAGUGAUUAACGGCGUCAAGAUGAAGGUGAUGCUGGCAGACCCGCCCAAAGAGGAAUCGCACAAACGCCAGAGAACUUACUGACCUUUGACCUUACGACAGGCUCAGAGGUUUAGAUGACAUGACGCAUGACCCCGACAUGACAGGACGGCUAUUUAUGAUGACACGACCUCAUAACGACGGACACUGACUGCCGUUUCAGUGCUUUAAAGUGUUUUUACUUUCUCCCUUUUUGUUUUCUUGUUUGCAAUAGAGACACUUGACCACUUGAUGUUUUCAUCUUGGUUAAAUCUGAUUGUAGGGUCUGCAAAGGUGUGGAACGACAGUAGGUCGAGUAAAAGACGACAGAAUCGUUACAUGUCAAGUAAAAGCGACAGGCAAAGCUUCAUGCAUGAAUUCAGUGAUGUGGAAGUACCUGCUCUUUCCAUGCUCUCCUUCUCAGACAGGCAUCGGACUGAGUUCUUGACUGAAGACGCUCCUUGAACACAACAUUGGUCAGGCAUGAGACACAAACAAAAAGGGAAAAAAUGACUACUGGGGCCACUGAUUAAGGGGAUGCUUACAUAUGAAUACAAUGCUAAAAGAUAUUAAGAACACAUGUACUAUGAGUUGUAUUAUUUCAUUAAAAUUCAUAGAUUUUUUUAUUAUACCC